CCUACGGGGGGCUGCAGUGGGGAAUAUUGGACAAUGGGGGGAACCCUGAUCCAGCCAUGCCGCGUGUGUGAAGAAGGCCCUCGGGUUGUAAAGCACUUUCAGUGAGGAAGAACGCCUGGUGGUUAAUACCCAUCAGGAAAGACAUCACUCACAGAAGAAGCACCGGCUAACUCCGUGCCAGCAGCCGCGGUAAUACGGAGGGUGCGAGCGUUAAUCGGAAUUACUGGGCGUAAAGCGCGCGUAGGUGGCUUGAUAAGCCGGUUGUGAAAGCCCCGGGCUCAACCUGGGAACGGCAUCCGGAACUGUCAAGCUAGAGUGCAGGAGAGGAAGGUAGAAUUCCCGGUGCAGCGGUGAAAUGCGUAGAGAUCGGGAGGAAUACCAGUGGCGAAGGCGGCCUUCUGGACUGACACUGACACUGAGGUGCGAAAGCGUGGGUAGCAAACAGGAUUAGAUACCCUGGUAGUC
rnacentral:rRNA from 1 species